rnacentral:lncRNA from 1 species
AAUCUGUUUUUCAUACCAACGCGGAAAAAUUUCUUCGGGCACGGUAUAAACGAUUAUUUUACACGAGACGGAUUGCUGGAAUCGAACGGGGAGAUUGCGACCUAAUUUUGCAACGAUCUUGCUAUGAAGAACGGAAACUGGAUGCAUUCCAACCACCGAAAGCAGGUUCGCAGUGAAUUCAAUCUAAUUCUUUUUAACUCAGAUACAAAAUAUGAGGAUAUUCGCAGGGAGGAACCGUUGCUCUAAAACUAUUCCUAUAUACUACCUAUUCGUUCAAACAUAAAUUCGCCACCAUUUUAUAAUUAACACUCCGAAUGUUAAAACUGUAAUAAACAGAUGAUUCAUUAAAAGAAGGUAAACGGAGUCAAAAUAUCACACCUGAGUCAUGUGGCACGAUAAUUUCAAAACGCCUGGAUAAACUGUUCAUAUUACGCGGUAAAUCACAGAAACUGUUCUAAAGUUUCAUCAGGCAACGUAUUUACAAAAAGUAAAAAGCAUUUCUGGAAUUAAAAUACGUGCGAUAAGAUAAAGAAAUGCUUUCAAAUGAAAUUCCAUUGCUUUUCAUUCUCGAUUGGAUAAAAUAUACUUAUACUUUCUACAUUAUUUUCUCUGCCUCAACAAAAAACAGAGUGAAGAAAACAGCAAGUAAAAAAGUUUUAAUUUAAACUGGUCUAGCUAAGGAGUAAAGUUACUAUGUAACGGAAAGAGUUCUUUCACGUGGUUCUCCGAGACUGUGCAUUAAAUACUUAAUUCUUUAUCUUUUGCUGCAUCUUUUUUCCAUCUUAUGCCUUAAAGCGUGCAUGAAAAAUUACGAUGGAUCCAAAGCGUCAGAAUAACCGUGCAUUCCAUCGUAGUUUUUUUUUAUACGUUUUACGUGAUCGGUUUUUUUUUGCAAAAAAUAGAUGUUUGCGCAACUAUGCAUCGUUGGGGUCAAUCGGAAAAAAAUUGCGAAGUUCACUACACAAUAUAAUUGACACGAAUAUUAACUUCUAUUUAAAUUUCAAUUUUUUAUCGUGAUUUAUGAUUGCCGCCUAUCGAGUUAUUGGAGACGGAUUUUAAUAUUAGAAAAUUAGAUUUAAAUAUUGUAAAGAAAAUUUUGAAUAUUUUAUUCAUAUUUUCUGUUAAAUUAUAACGAAUUAUUUGCUGAGUUUACUAUAUUACCAGACGCGAAUCCACGUGGUUGCGGUCUAGCCAGAAGCUUCUAUCACUUUUUUUUGUUUAUAAACGAUUUACGAUCGAGAACUAAAACAAGAAAUCUUUACCGUCUACUGUUUGUGCGAAGUUACACGCGUAUACGUAAUAUCGUCGCGAAUAAUUUAAUAAUGGUUGAAAACUGUUUGUUGAAUAAUUUAUUUACGUGUGACUAUUUUGAUGAUAUA